GAUGAACGCUGGCGGUAUGCCUUACACAUGCAAGUCGUACGAGAGUUUUUAACUCAAGUGGCGGACGGGUGAGUAACACGUAAGAAUUUACCUUUAGGAGGGGGAUAACAACUGGAAACGGUUGCUAAUACCCCAUAUGCUUUCGAGUGAAAUGGGUUUCCGCCUAAAGAAAAGCUUGCGGCUGAUUAGCUUUUUGGUGAGGUAAUGGCUCACCAAGGCGACGAUCAGUAUCUGGUUUGAGAGGAUGAUCAGACACACUGGAACUGAGACACGGCCCAGACUCCUACGGGAGGCAGCGGUGGGGAAUAUUGGACAAUGGGCGCAAGCCUGAUCCAGCCAUGCCGCGUGAGUGAUGAAGGCCCUAGGGUUGUAAAGCUCUUUCACCGGUGAAGAUAAUGACGGUAACCGGAGAAGAAGCCCCGGCUAACUUCGUGCCAGCCGCCGCGGUAAUAC
rnacentral:rRNA from 1 species